rnacentral:rRNA from 1 species
UGUAAACCGACACAGGUGGAUGAGGAGAGAAUCCUAAGGCCGGCGGAAGAAGCAUUGUUAAGGAACUCGGCAAAAUGACCCCGUAACUUCGGGAGAAGGGGUGCCAACGAGAGUUGGCCGCAGAGAAUAGGCUCAAGCAACUGUUUAGCAAAAACACAGGUCUAUGCAAAACCGUAAGGUGAGGUAUAUGGGCUGACGCCUGCCCGGUGCUGGAAGGUUAAGAGGAGAGGUUAGCGCAAGCGAAGCUUUGAAUUUAAGCCCCAGUAAACGGCGGCCGUAACAAUAACGGUCCUAAGGUAGCGAAAUUCCUUGUCGGGUAAGUUCCGACCCGCACGAAAGGCGUAAUGAUUUGAGCGCUGUCUCGACAAUGCAUCCGGUGAAAUUGAAGUACCAGUGAAGAUGCUGGUUACCCGCGCCAGGACGGAAAGACCCCAUGGAGCUUUACUCCAGUUUGGUACUGGGGUCCGGCAGUGCAUGUACAGGAUAGGUGGGAGGCUGAGAACCUGGAACGCCAGUUUCAGGGGAGCCAUUGUUGGGAUACCACCCUUGUGCUGCUGGGCUUCUAACCAGCGGCCUUUAUCAGGCCGGGGGACAAUGCCAGACGGGGAGUUUGACUGGGGCGGUCGCCUCCGAAAGGGUAUCGGAGGUGCUCAAAGGUUCCCUCAGAAUGGUCGGAAACCAUUCGAAGAGUGCAAAGGCAGAAGGGAGCUUGACUGCGACACCGACGGGUGGAGCAGGUACGAAAGUAGGACUUAGUGAUCCGGUGGUAUUAAGUGGGAAUGCCAUCGCUCAACGGAUAAAAGCUACCCUGGGAUAACAGGCUUAUCACUCCCAAGAGUUCACAUCGACGGAGUGGUUUGGCACCUCGAUGUCGGCUCAUCGCAUCCUGGGGCUGUAGUAGGUCCCAAGGGUUGGGCUGUUCGCCCAUUAAAGCGGUACGCGAGCUGGGUUCAGAACGUCGUGAGACAGUUCGGUCCCUAUCCGGCGUGGGCGUAGGAUAUUUGAGAGGAGCUGUCCUUAGUACGAGAGGACCGGGAUGGACUGACCUCUGGUGUACCGGUUGAACCGCCAGGUUCACGGCCGGGUAGCCAAGUCGGGAAGGGAUAAACGCUGAAGGCAUCUAAGCGUGAAGCCCCCCUCAAGAUGAGAUAUCCCAUUCGAAAGAAGUAAGACCCCUUGAAGACGACGAGGUAGAUAGGGCAGAGGUGGAAGUGCCGUAAGGCAUGGAGCUGACUGUUACUAAUCGGUCGAGGGCUUGACC